UUUGUAUUACGUGCGGAAAUUGUUACCAUUUUUGAGUCGCAAAUGGUAACAAUUUGCGCACGUAAUACAAA
rnacentral:miRNA from 1 species